UAGAAGAGUAGCGCUGCUUUUUUCCUAUCCAUUCCAGCAGCCAGGAUAUUAAGGGAUUCAGCAUGAGGAGCUCCAGAUGUGCUGAAAUGUGCUCUCAAAUGCCUGUUCACAUUCAAAAGUGUGGAACUAAUUCCAGAACGCCUAGAUAUGUGGAAAGCUACUUUCUCCUCUACUAGUGAUUCAAGGCCUCCGCUGCGGUGGAAAUAUCCUUUCUUCUCUACUCCUUCAAGGUCUCUGCUGCUGUUUCCAGAUGAUGAAUUUUUUUUCCUUUUGUCUCUGUUAAUGGUUUCCAAAUCAUUAAUCAAACAAGCAUUUUCUGCUAGACCAUAACUCUCAUCCUAUUUUCAUCAUAUGUCAAGAUGGAAUGGCCAAUCCUUGAAAGUUGAAGGCUUAAUUAGCAUUUCACAAAGGUAUACACCUGAAGAAUUGACUUGGGGAAACAGAAGAUCAAAUAGCCAAAUUAAGAUGAAUUAUACCAGAUUUCCCUGAUGGUAGCGUUGAAGUAACUUCAGGAGCGCUCACACCAUUUCCAAGGUUAGCCCACUGUACAUCUGGGGGAAGGUUAGCCCACUGUACAUCUGGGGGGGUUUUCGGUUG